rnacentral:lncRNA from 1 species
CGGUCACCAUUACCACCCUCAUCUUUCUCCAUUCACCACACCAACCUUCAAACAUUUAAAAACGUGGUAAUAGUGAUGACAGAAUACACACAUGUUUGCAACAGUAACUGACACUCCAAAAGUUGACUCUUUUGAUUCUAUGUUGUGAUAAGAAUAACAUGUUCCAUUUCCAUGUCGAAAGUCAGAAGAACCUUUAGAACAUGAUUAAUUUUGAGACUCUUUGAAAACUCAGAAAUACAUCCAAAAUCCACUUUCA